GAUGAAGAACGUAGCGAAAUGCGAUAAGUAAUGUGAAUUGCAGAAUUCAGUGAAUCAUCGAAUCUUUGAACGCACAUUGCGCCCCUUGGUAUUCCGGGGGGCAUGCCUGUUCGAGCGUCAUUUCAACCCUCAAGCUUCUGCUUGGUCUUGGGCCGUGCCGGCAACGGCUGGCCUUAAAACUAGUGGCGGUGCCAUCGAGCUCUACGCGUAGUAAUUCUAUCUCGCGUCUGGGCUUCGGUGGACGCUGGCCAGCAACCCCCAAUUUUCUAUGGUUGACCUCGGAUCAGGUAGGGAUACCCCCUGAACUUAAGCAUAUCAAUAAGCGGAGGA
rnacentral:misc_RNA from 1 species